ACUUGAUGGUGGGGACACUGUUGGAGAAGGUCAUGAAGUCUCUCCCAUGUUUCAUGAAAUUGCUCGCCAUCAAUUUGAGCAAAAUUAGUGAUGUCUUGUCUAAGUU